GACUAGCUGAGAGGAGGUGCAUGGCCGUCGUCAGUUCGUACUGUGAAGCAUCCUGUUAAGUCAGGCAACGAGCGAGACCCACGCCAACAGUUGCCAGCUCGUCCUCCGGGAUGGUGGGGACACUGUUGGGACCGCCUCUGCUAAAGAGGAGGAAGGAAUGGGCAACGGUAGGUCAGCAUGCCCCGAAUUAUCUGGGCUACACGCGGGCUACAAUGGGUGGGACAAUGGGUAUCGACACCGAAAGGUGAAGGCAAUCUCCUAAACCCAUCCGUAGUUCGGAUUGAGGGCUGCAACUCGCCCUCAUGAAGCUGGAAUCCGUAGUAAUCGCGUUUCAACAGAACGCGGUGAAUACGUCCCUGCUCCUU
rnacentral:rRNA from 1 species